CAUUCGCGGGGCGAAGCCUGACCGCAAUGCCGCGUGCAGGAAGAAGGCCUUCGGGUUGUAAGCUGCUUUUGUACGGAACGAAACGGUCUGCCCUAAUACGGCGGGCUAAUGACGGUACCGUAAGAAUAAGCACCGGCUAACUACGUGCCAGCAGCCGCGGUAAUACGUAGGGUGCGAGCGUUAAUCGGAAUUACUGGGCGUAAAGCGUGCGCAGGCGGUUAUGUAAGACAGUCGUGAAAUCCCCGGGCUCAGCCUGGGAAUUGCAUCUGUGACUGCAUAGCUAGAGUACGGUAGAGGGGGAUGGAAUUCCGCGUGUAGCAGUGAAAUGCGUAGAUAUGCGGAGGAACACCGAUGGCGAAGGCAAUCCCCUGGACCUGUACUGACGCUCAUGCACGAAAG
rnacentral:rRNA from 1 species